CGACCAGACUCCUACGGGAGGCAGCAGUGGGGGAUAUUGCACAAUGGGGGGAACCCUGAUGCAGCGACGCCGCGUGGGUGAAGGAGUAUUUCGGUAUGUAAAGCCCUAUCGGCAGGGAAGAAGCAAGACGGUACCUGACUAAGAAGCCCCGGCUAACUACGUGCCAGCAGCCGCGGUAAUACGUAGGGGGCGAGCGUUAUCCGGAUUCACUGGGUGUAAAGGGAGCGUAGACGGCCAUGCAAGCCAGGGGUGAAAGCCCGGGGCCCAACCCCGGGACUGCCCUUGGAACUGCAUGGCUGGAGUGCGGGAGGGGCAGGCGGAAUUCCUGGUGUAGCGGUGAAAUGCGUAGAUAUUAGGAGGAACACCAGUGGCGAAGGCGGCUUACUGGACUGUAACUGACGUUGAGGCUCGAAAGCGUGGGGAGCAAACAGGAUUAGAUACCCGUGUA
rnacentral:rRNA from 1 species